rnacentral:rRNA from 1 species
AUUGAACGCUGGCGGAAUGCUUUACACAUGCAAGUCGAACGGCAGCACGGACUUCGGUCUGGUGGCGAGUGGCGAACGGGUGAGUAAUGUAUCGGAACGUGCCCAGUCGUGGGGGAUAACGUAGUGAAAAUUACGCUAAUACCGCAUACGAUCUAUGGAUGAAAGCGGGGGAUCGCAAGACCUCGCGCGAUUGGAGCGGCCGAUAUCAGAUUAGGUAGUUGGUGGGGUAAAGGCCCACCAAGCCAACAAUCUGUAGCUGGUCUGAGAGGACGACCAGCCACACUGGAACUGAGACACGGGCCAGACUCCUACGGGAGGCAGCAGUGGGGAAUUUUGGACAAUGGGCGAAAGCCUGAUCCAGCCAUUCCGCGUGCAGGAUGAAGGCCCUCAGGUUGUAAACUGCUUUUGUACAGAACGAAAAGGUUUCUACUAAUACCAGGAGCUCAUGACGGUACUGUAAGAAUAAGCACCGGCUAACUACGUGCCAGCAGCCGCAGUAA